rnacentral:tRNA from 1 species
CAUUAAGAAGCUAUGUACCAGCACUAGCCUUUUAAGCUAGAUAAAGAGGGGAACCCCCCUCCUUAAUGA